rnacentral:rRNA from 1 species
UACGGAGGAGGCAAGCGUUAUCCGGAAUUAUUGGGCGUAAAGCGUCCGUAGGUGGCUCUCUCAAGUCUGCGGUCAAAGACCGGGGCUCAACCCUGGAAAGGCCGUGGAAACUGGUGAGCUAGAGUGCGGUAGGGGCAGAGGGAAUUCCCAGUGUAGCGGUGAAAUGCGUAGAGUAGUGGAAGAACACCGGUGGCGAAAGCGCUCUGCUGGGCCGCAACUGACGCUGAGGAGCGAAAGCGUGGGAGCGAACAGG